CGGGGAGUGUCGCAGUCUGGUAGCGCACUUGACUGGGGGUCAAGAGGCCGCAGGUUCAAAUCCUGUCUCCCCGACCA
rnacentral:tRNA from 1 species